rnacentral:tRNA from 1 species
GGGGUUGUGGCUCAGCAGUAGAGCGCGUGCCUCGCAUGCAUGAGGCACUGGGUUCGAUUCGCGGCACCA